GUCAUCAUGAGGCAUUAGCUGGCUGGUGUCUGUAGCUUCUUUGAGUUGGGAUUAGGGGAUUUGGUCUGCUGUCCAGAGGUGCCAUGGUUCUUCCCCAUGUCUACAGGGUGAAUGUUGCACAUCAGAGCUGGCAUCUUUGUUAAUGUCUGAACAGAGGGCGAGGAUUAAAUAGGCCUGACAGCUGAGGGGAUUUUCAAAGGCACGAGUGGUAUUUAGACAUGUAUCUUCUGCUGGUUUCUGUUGGUUUUCCAGACUUGCUUUCAGAUGCCUGGUUUGAUGUGGGUCUGUCACCGCACUGCUCUACCUGACGCUGUUAUGGACAAGCUACUUAUGGGUGUUUGAUGAAGAUUUGGGGAAAUUUUCAGAGAUACAAAUGUCAACACCCAAGUUACACUGAUGAGAUGGAGAAGCCCAUUCUCGAUAGGAAGGAGUUAAUAAAGAACCUGGAGAAGGUUCUGUCUUGUCACUCAUUGUGUGACAAGCUUGGAGAUGAAAGACUCGCAUGGAGAGUGGUACAUUGUGCAUUAGGAUCGGCAGAUAUCCUCUGGGAUCUGAGCAGUGAAGGACUAUUUGAGAUGUGCGCUCUGUGCUUGUCAAAGAGAAGUAAGUGCUGCAAUAAAAAUAGAAUAUUCAAACUCCUCUCAGUCUGGGUAGAAGGAGGACUUCACCUUUGUGCAAGAAGACCUUCUUAAUCUGCAAGUUCUCCUAGAAAGGGUUUUAAGAGCAGCCGUCCAUUUCUGUGCAGGAACAGACAUAUGUUAAAGGCUGUCAUGCUGCUGCAGAAGCAAACCAGUGAGCUCAUGGGCUGCCUCUGCCAAUGGUUAAGGUCAGCUACUGGGAAAAAUUACAAGACAGCUAUUACAGCCAGGUACGGUCCUGCAGAAGGGCCUUCAUUGAGAAUUGUUACUCUUUGCUCAAUUUUGUGCAAGCCAGUGAGACUGUGACCUGGAAAAAUCGCUUCUGAUUCUCGAAACAAGGACGGCAAGGUGUGUGCAGGUCGGCGUCAGUUUGGGGGUUGGGACUUUUUUUUUUUUUUGGCCAUUCAAGUUUUUUAGUCAUAAACUGCCUUUUUUGUUGACAAAUGGGGAUCAUUCCUGAAAAUUGUCAGGACAGCUUGUCCGUGUGGUAGAUUUUCUUCUCUUUCCCUACCCUUUAAAGCAUUACAGGAGCUUGAGCAACAAUCUUCUUGGCUGACACGAAGGGCAGAGGCACCAGUCUGAUAGAGAGGACGUACUGUCACCACUGCAGCCCAAGGGAUUCUCAGCCCUUACCUAAACAUCGUGACACUCUGGCCUCUUCACUCUGGUCAGCAGCCUUCACUUAGACACAGACUUGGAUCUAGUUACAAUUUUAACGGGCAGAGCUCAGAAAAGUUAUUAGUGACUGUAGGAAAAAGCAAGUGAGCAGGCCAUAAAUCAGGCCAUCGGAUGAAUUCAGAACGCACUAAUAAAAUCAGAGCUUCCAAUAAAUUUCAUUUCAGGCAGAGUAGAAACAGAUUCUCAGUCGAGAGUUCAGCACAGAUUAUAAUUUCAGAUGUGUGGCUGGUCAACUCAAAAUGCCUACAAAAAUGUUUGCAAGCAGGCAGCAAUGGCUGGUCCAGAGCCAGGCCCUCACACCA